GGCCAAACAGCUGAGCACAGCCCUACUCUGGGUGACAACACUUUGGAAACUGCCAAAGGGAGUGCCCAAUGUUGGAAAAACAAAUUGAAGAAAUCAGCGCAUAACUGUUCGAGCAUAUCUCGGUCAUAGAAAUGAUUUGCUGUGUGUUUUCCGAUCCCCUUCGUCCUUGGAGUGUAUGCAAUAGAACAGUAUGGGAGCAAUUGUUUUUGGCAGUGUGUCCGCCCAAGACUGACUCUGCUCACCCUAAACAGAACCACAUUGUCUGCUGAGCCCAGGAAAAAAUGCCUGACUCCCCCUCAAUAUCUGACAGAAUUUGUUUAACAGUACUGUAUGUUUGUGACCAAAGAGGAUGCAACGUGCGUCAAACAGUCUUUUGCUUUUACCUCUUAUCUCAUUAGAACAAGGGGUUUUGUUUACUUUGAGUAUUAUAAACUAAAACUGAUCAUAAAACACUGUUUUCUUUGGAUUAAUAUAAUACUUUUCCUGAAUAUUCAUGGUGUUUGCUAAGGCAAGCAUCACUGUCACUAUUGAUAAUACAUGUACUUGUAGUGAGAUUUGAACAAACUCCUAAAAGUAUUUAACCUUAGCAUGUAACUAAUUCCACACCGUACAUACUGUAAAUGAUUCCUCAAAUCAUGCAGCUCUUUAUGAUUAACAUGCAAUCAGACUUGAUUUUCGCCUAGUGGAUGAUAAAACAUAGACUUAUAUUGAGGGAUCUGAGCCAUGUCUAGAGACCAGAACACCAGAGAUUUGGGCUCGUUUGUCUAGAGCUUGUAAAUAACCACCUAGCAACAACCCAGAACUCCAUAGAAACCACAUGGCAACAAAAACCACU